rnacentral:rRNA from 1 species
GUUUAACAAAAACAUGUCUUUUUGAUUAUAAUUUAAAGUCUGGCCUGCCCAAUGAAUAAAUUUUAAUGGCCGCAGUAUAUUGACUGUGCAAAGGUAGCAUAAUCAUUAGUUUUUUAAUUGAAAGCUGGAAUGAAAGGUUGGAUGAAAAAAUAACUGUCUCUAUCUAAAUUAAUUAGAAUUUUAUUUUUAAGUAAAAAAGCUUAAAUAAUGAUAAAAGACGAGAAGACCCUAUAGAGUUUUAUAUUUUUUUAGAAAUAUAAUUUUUAGUAUUUUUAGUUUAAAUUUUUAAGAAGUAUUUAAUUGGGGUGAUUAAAAAAUUAAAAAAACUUUUUUUAAAUUUUUACAUUUAUUUUUGAAAAUAUGAUCCUUUAAUUGAGAUUAUAAGAAAAAAUUACCUUAGGGAUAACAGCGUAAUUUUUUUUAAGAGUUCUAAUCGAAAAAAGAGAUUGCGACCUCGAUGUUGGAUUAAAA